rnacentral:rRNA from 1 species
CUACGGGCGGCAGCAGUGGGGAAUAUUGGACAAUGGGGGAAACCCUGAUCCAGCAAUGCCGCGUGUGUGAAGAAGGCCUGCGGGUUGUAAAGCACUUUCGGUUGGAAGGACUGCUUCUAGCACUAAUAUUGUUGGAAGUUGACGUUACCUUCAGAAGAAGCACCGGCUAACUCCGUGCCAGCAGCCGCGGUAAUACGGAGGGUGAAGCGUUAAUCGGAAUUACUGGGCGUAAAGCGCGCGUAGGCGGCUAGAUCAGUCGGGUGUGAAAGCCCCGGGCUUAACCUGGGAACUGCAUCCGAUACUGUCUAGAUAGAGAACAGGAGAGGAGAGCGGAAUUCCACAUGUAGCGGUGAAAUGCGUAGAUAUGUGGAGGAACACCAAUGGCGAAGGCAGCUCUCUGGCCUGAUACUGACGCUGAGGUGCGAAAGCGUGGGGAGCAAACAGGAUUAGAUACCCUCGUAGUC